GGGAGUCCUCCCUUCUGUUGUACGACUGUGAUGCUUAGUAUCAGCACUGUAUUCAGGAGCAGCCCAAGAUAGGACUAGAGUGGGUAGCGGACCUCUGAUGGGAAAAAAAGAUGAGGCUGAUUUAUACAAAUUUUGAAGAUCAUUUAAGACCUCAGAAAAGUCCUAGAGGAUCUUCCACAGCUUUGUGGCAGCUUCAGAUAAGAGGCAAAGUGGCUGAACAAAGACCACAACCAAACUUUGAAGGACUGGGUGGACCUGAUGUUCAUUUUCCAUUGCCACAGCGACAGGAAGGAAAGCUGAAACCAGGAGUGCCGGCGGGAGAGCUGCAGGGCAGGACGCAAUGCCAUCAAGUGACUGGAGUCUCGUUAUUAGGAAAUGUGGAAAGGUUACUGAAACUGGUAAGCAGGCCACAGGAACUGAAUACUCCCAGGGAUGAGGGAGGCAUUGGUGAACACUGAACCCUUUUUCAUAGUUUGAUUUCUUUUGAUGACAGCAUCCAGUGAAGGCUUUAUAGUUUUUAAAAACCUCAAAAUGAAGGUUAGUCUGGCAAGGGAUGGCCAACCCCUCACAAAGCUAUUAACCCAUCUAAUUGGAAUUUGAUCAUGACAAUUAAAGGCACAUGUCAGUCUUUUCUUUUUAUGACCUUCAAAUAAGAUCUACGUCUGAAAGCCCUGUCUAUGACGACAAUUGAUUUCAGUUCAUUUCAGUCGCUCAGUCGUGUCCGACUCUUUGUGACCCCAUGAAUCGCAGCAUGCCAGGCCUCACUGUCCAUCACCAGUUCCCAGAGUUCACUCAGACUCAUGUCCAUUGAGUCGGUGAUGCCAUCCAGCCAUCUCAUCCUCUGUCGCCCCCUUCUCCUUCUGCCCCCAACCCCUCCCAGCAUAAGGGUCUUUUCCAAUGAGUCAACUCUUCCCAUGAGGUGGCCAAAGUACUGGAGUUCCAGCUUUAGCAUCAUUCCUUCCAAAGAAAUCCCAGGACUAAUUUCCUUCAGAAUGGACUGGUUGGAUCUCCUUGCAGUCCAUGGACUCUCAAGAGUCUUCUCCAACACCACAGUUUAAAAGCAUCACUUCUUCGGUGCUCAGCUUUCUUCACAGUCCAACUCUCACAUCCAUACAUGACCACUGGAGAAACCAUAGCCUUGACUAGACGGACCUUUGUUGGCAAAGUAAUGUCUCUGCUUUUGAAUAUGUUAUCUAGGUUGGUCAUAACUUUCCUUCCCAGGAGUAAGCGUCUUUUAAUUUCAUGGCUGCAGUCACCAUCUGCAGUGAUUUUGGAGCCCAAAAAAAAAAUAAGUCUGACACUGUUUCCACUGUUUCCCCAUCUAUUUCCCAUGAAGUGAUGGGGCCAGAUGCCAUGAUCUUCGUUUUCUGAAUGUUGAGCUUUAAGCCAAUUUUUUCACUCUCCUCUUUCACUUUCAUCAAGAGGCUUUUUAGUUCCUCUUCACUUUCUGCCAAGGCAAUGCCAAAGAAUGCUCAAACUACCACACAAUUGCACUCAUCUCACACACUAGUAAAGUAAUGCUCAAAAUUCUCCAAGCCAGGCUUUAGCAAUACGUGAACCGUGAACUUCCAGAUGUUCAAGCUGGUUUUAGAAAAGGCAGAGGAACCAAAGAUCAAAUUGCCAACAUCUGCUGGAUCAUCGAAAAAGCAAGAGAGUUCCAGAAAAACAUCUAUUUCUGCUUUAUUGACUAUUCCAAAGCCUUUGACUGUGUGGAUCACAAUAAAUUGUGGAAAAUUCUGAAAGAGAUAGGAAUACCAGACCACCUGACCUGACUCUUGAGAAACCUAUAUGCAGGUCAGGAAGCAACAGUUAGAACUGGACAUGGACUGGUUCCAAAUAGGAAAAGGAGUACGUCAAGACUGUAUAUUGUCAACCUGCUUAUUGAACUUAUAUGCAGAGUACAUCAUGAGAAACGCUGGGCUGGAAGAAGCACAAGCUGGAAUCAAGGUUGCCGGGAGAAAUAUCAAUAACCUCAGAUAUACAGACAAUUGGUUUAGAAAACAGAAAAUUGUGUGAGGGGCAUUAAAAAGAAGGUCUGGCCUUCAGUAAACCUUUUACCCUUCUUUGGAAUAAGUGU
ensembl:lncRNA